GUUUCACCCCCAUAGAUCGACAUGCCCUUCGGGCUGGUUCGUACAUGUUCGGUUUUUUUUUUUUUUUUUUAUCUGUACGUUCAAAACAAACAUUGCAAUAUUGAUCAAAAAAUUGUUGACUAAUGUUAUUUUAUAUUUUUUUAAGAGUAAAACACAUGUACACAAAUAUUUCCUUUUACUAUUUAUGAGAUUUUCAGGUAAGUUAUUGAGCUAUUUCUGUUUGAUUUGUUAGGAGAUUAGUUUUGUCCGUUUACAAGUUAACAUUGCUUGUGUUAUUCUUGGCAAGUAAUCAUUUCUUAUAUAAAUUUUUGUACACUAUAGGCUUAUCUUUUUAAAUUUUAGGUAGCGUGUGGAGAUUUCAUCUUAUGUUCAUGAGCGCACAACGUAUAAAAUAUAAAAUCAUAAGAAAUGUUUUCUGGUGGUGUGUAGCAGUUAACCGCAUUUAAGUAAAAGUAUUUUAAAAUGAUUGUUACCAGAGCUGAAUUACAUUGAGGCUUGUGGAGAACAGCUUUUUUUUAAUCUACUCUUUGGCUGGCGAAUGUAAAUAAGCAAUGAUUUCGUGAAUGCAGCGAGAGAGUUUAUUUGAUGUAUUUUAAAAUCACUGAUAAUAUUUAUUGAUGUAUUUUAAAAUCACUGAUAAUAUUUAUUGAUGUAUUUUAAAAUCACUGAUAAUAUUUGUUUUGUGGCUGGAAGAUGGUAACCAUGGUGACUUGUGAAUUUUUAUGAAGAUUAAUAAAAAGCAGUAAAAAUUA